rnacentral:rRNA from 1 species
AUUGAACGCUGGCGGCAUGCCUUACACAUGCAAGUCGAACGGCAGCGGGCCUUCGGGUGCCGGCGAGUGGCGAACGGGUGAGUAAUGCAUCGGAACGUGCCAUUGAGUGGGGGAUAACGUAGCGAAAGUUGCGCUAAUACCGCAUAUUCUGUGAGCAGGAAAGCAGGGGACCGCAAGGCCUUGCGCUCUUUGAGCGGCCGAUGUCAGAUUAGCUAGUUGGUGAGGUAAAGGCUUACCAAGGCGACGAUCUGUAGCGGGUCUGAGAGGAUGAUCCGCCACACUGGAACUGAGACACGGUCCAGACUCCUACGGGAGGCAGCAGUGGGGAAUUUUGGACAAUGGGGGCAACCCUGAUCCAGCCAUGCCGCGUGAGUGAAGAAGGCCUCGGUGUAAGACUCUUCGGCGGACGAAGUACGCAUGGUG